rnacentral:rRNA from 1 species
CAUGUAGGCGGCUUAAUAAGUCGAGCGUGAAAAUGCGGGGCUCAACCCCGUAUGGCGCUGGAAACUGUUAGGCUUGAGUGCAGGAGAGGAAAGUGGAAUUCCUAGUGUAGCGGUGAAAUGCGUAGAUAUUAGGAGGAACACCAGUAGCGAAGGCGGCUUUCUGGACUGUAACUGACACUGAGGCACGAAAGCGUGGGAGCAAACA